rnacentral:lncRNA from 1 species
GCUACUAUCUAGAUCUACUCUAGUUUAGAGAAGAGAGGAGAGCUCUCAUCUCUAAACCCUAGCUUUUGCUCUGUCUAUGAAUAAUGAAUAAUGAUCAAGGGGUGCCUCCUCCAGGGGCCAGGGGGUCUGGUUUUAUAGUCCCCUCAAGUGAACCUGGGUCGUCGGAUCAAACCGACAUUGAUUGAACGGUUAUUCUUGAUCCUUUAGGUCGGUGGAGCAUAAUCCGCGAGAUUGAGCGUGAUUGGCCGAAAAAGGUGGGCGGGCGCCCUAAGGACAUGGGCGGGCGCCCUGUCCCUGACUCCGUUCGGUCUCCGCUUCCUUCCCGUGGCUUCUGGAGUCUUCUAGAUGUAAGAUAAUUGCGCGGCACAUUGAUAUCUCUAUGUAAUCCCGACAUGUGGGCCUUUCUUCCUUAUUUCCUGAUAACCCCUGCAGAAAUAGACAAACACCAAAACUCGUGGAAUUCUGUCAGAUAAAUCCCUAAGUCUGGAUGUUGAUUUCAUUUGGAUCCUUUUCUUUAUUUAUUUGAUAAUUAAAUUUGAUACUUAAGGACCGUCAACAAACUCCCCCAAGCUUACCUCUUACUCGUCCCUGAGCAAGGAUAGACUCAGCUAUGGAUCAUAAGUUGUUGCAAUAUCUUUAAAAAUUGACAGUACACAUGCUUUUAAAUGAGGUCUCAUCUCUGAGUUAGAGUAAACUGUCAAGACUUUAAAACUUACUUACUUUACCUUUCACCAUGGGACUUGUAACCGUCACUUCUGUCUUGAGUAGUUAAAAGAUAGAACAGUCUAGCCAAGUGCCAUGUCUCUUAUUCUUGAUCAGCUAUAGCUCUGGAGUUUUUGCAGAUUUUCAAAUAAAACUCAGAGAUUCCUUUGUAUGACUCUCUCAUAUCUCUCUUUUGUGGUAUUUCUGGAUCUUUACCAAGGCAGUGAUGGUAUAUGCCUUCUCUCAAGAUAUGUGGUAUUUGUGGUAUAAGGCAUAGUGACAUUGCCUUCUCUCUCACCCUACUCUAAUAAGGCUUUAAUAUCUGGAGCUCAUAGGUGGGAGAUAAAAUAUACAUACUUACAAGACAUUUAUUGUAUAGUCAAACCAUGGAUCCAAAGAAACAAAUCAAUAAGCCAAAUCAAGAUGUGCAUGUGUGGCGAAUGAAUGGUGUAUGGUGAUGAUGGUGAUAACAAUGGUGAAAGUCUAAUUCUACUUUUGCUCUUUUGAGGGGAUACAUAUCUUCCUUGCUUUUUGAAACUUUAUGAGGAGAAUGAGAUGCUCUUCUUUUUCUUUUCUUUCGAGGUUUCGGGCACUUGCCCCUUUUUAUUUCCUCGUUUAUUUUUUUUAUUUUUUUUCUUUUCUUUUCUUUUUUUUUCUUUUUUUUUCAGAGCACUCAUCUCUUGAGAUAAUAUAGCAAGUGGUAGUAGCAAGAUAACUUGAGCAUUUAUUUCACAAGGGGAAAACAUAGGUGUUUUUGGCUAUUCUCUCCCGAAUUAGGAGUAGAAUAUUUUUAGGUGAUUCUGGAGAUGGAAAUGGAUGGAUAUAUGUGGAUGGUACUUCCAGAGUAGAAGUAGCAUAUAUAUGAGUGAACGUGCAAGUGAAUCUUGAUUUAACCACAUGACAAGCUCCUAAGGGUCUACACAGCUUGACCACACUCAAUGCUCAUAAGCAGUAAAUAAUAAAUGUGUGGCUCAAAGUCUAGCAAGCAUGUAUAUAUGGCUGUGGUAGGAAUUUAAACUUUCAUCAUACAGGAACUCAUCAUGCAACAUUUUAAAGAUUUUUCAAAGAUAAAAUUCUCCAGAAUUCUAGCAUCUCUAGGAAUAGAUAAACAACAGCUCAACCUUCCCAUAUCAUAUCCGUUAACAACUUAGAUUUCAGAUCAAGUUUUCAUCCCACAAGUUUAGAUCUAGAGCAUGCUUUAAAUUAUAACAGUUAUGUCUAAACUUGAGAGAGAACUUUAAAUUUGCAAAUUAGGCAGAGCAACUAUUCAUCAUAUCCAUGCUAGAGUUUUAUUAUUAAGAUUCAUAGCAAACUUUAUUUAUUUAUUUAUUUAUUUAGCAAACUAAGAAAAGUAUAUAUAUAUAAGCAUAAAAUCUUUAUUUGGUUUUUCAUAGUUUAUGUAUUUUAAUAUUCUAAUAUAAUAUAAGUAUAAAGAUAGGUAGAAAUACUUAGCGAGAUAAAUGGGGGUGCUCUCCCCCAAGCUGAAUUUUGACGUAAUUUCUCUUGAUGUAGCUAGCAGGUGGCAGAGGUGUAUUUGAAAGUCAGCAGCAUUCUGACAGCGAUUAGAAUGUCCUCCGUCUGCUAGUCUUCUUGAUUCUUAAAUUCUGUGGAGCUCAAAUAGACAACAAAGCUUGUGGAACUAAUUAAGUGUUAGCAUAAAUAUCUAGCCUUCAUCACGUUGAGCUUCCUCAAUAAAUGUUACUCCCUGUUUUUAUAUUUUUAUUUUAUAAAGUAGAAAAGAAAUAUUUAUUUUAUUUUUAUGCCACCACAGUGAAGGUACUUAUGGGUUUUAUGCCACUCGUAUACUCACAUGGGGCUUAGUAUUUUUUUAACAUUUUUAUUUUCUUUUCAAGAUAGCGUGAUUAACUAAUAAUCUAUUUAAGGCAAGUAAAUAAUUAAAGGGAAAAGGGAAUGCAGAAAGGAUAAAUAUGGAUAACUACCGAUUUUACCUUUCGGCGAGGGUUCAAUGUUUUAAGUCUUCUGAACAAGACUUCUCACCGUGUUCAUUCUUCAGGUGCGUCAUUUGAUUCAGGUGUGGAUCUUGACGUCUGCACCUUUUAAUACGGUGUCACCCAUGUUCUUCGUUUGCCCAGCAGUUCGAAGUGCGGUGUUAGCAGUAUCUUGCUCAGUGUGUUUGUGCUCGUAGUGUACCUGCUCAUAGAGACAAGGCAGAGAUCAAGUGCAUGGGCCCUGUUGGUGGAAAACACCAACAGAACCAAAAGUGUAUUUGUUCUUCUCUAACCUUAAGCAUAGUGAGCAAGACAAGUUGAUGGAUGAUAAGUUCAUGAGUGUAGCACUUAUAACAUUUGUCAGAUCAGAUCGCUCAACCUUAUGGAAAGAUAAUCUAUCUAUGUAUAUGUCUUUUUCUUUAUAUCUCUCAAUGAUUGAGUGUGUAACAUUUUAGCUCAUAUGAUUAGGAGUGUGGGAUCAUGGAGGUAGUACUAAGAACAAGGAUUAAAGGACUAAACAUGCUGAAUCAGUUGGGUUGGUUAAUCUAGAGUUGUAAAUCAUACAUGUUUGUCUCUCUUAUUUAUAUGAACGCCAGAACCAAGGAGAAGCUUAUAAAAGUGAUAGACAAGUAACUUAAGAUGUUACCUUGCUUGAAGAGUGAUGGUACAGUAUCACCUUGUGGAAGCUUUCCUUUCUUAGCGGUUGUGCAUCGUGUUUGUGGCACCCUCCAUAGAUCAUCUCUCUAUGAUGAAUGAGCUAUGUCCUUCUUGUGCAAAUUGUUAAACUUCAUGUGUCACUCUCUUCGUCUCUGAUGUGAGUUUAUCUCAAGACUUCCCAAAUCGAUAUUGAAAGUUUUUCUGCAGGGGUUAGUCCGACAAAAAUAUACCAAUGUCUACACACGCAGUUUUUAGUUCAAUAACCGAACUAGACUCCAUGUCUAAUCAGAUUAAGGAAGGCUGCUUAACCUAAGCACCAUGCUUAAUUUAAAAGCCAAUGGAAGUAUGGCGAGUAAAUAGACAAAGGUAGCAUGACAGCAUUUAUAGAGAUCUACUCAAGUGGAGAUGAAGUAGUGUGAUUAGUAUUUAACAAAUUAAGCAUGUCUCAAAGGUAGGGACAACAAACAUAGCAACAUGGCAAAGGAUGUUUUUAUGUAAAGUACUCCCCCAAGCUUGAAUUUUGCAGAAUUCAAGUUUGGAUGAAUUUAAUUCAGUGUUGCAUGAUGAUUGGUUGGACAUACCUUGUGCUUGUCAUUCAUCCGAUCUUCUUGCUCCAAUCCUAGAAAGGUUAGUGACAAGAAUACCCGAAGGAAUAUUUUUACAAUUAUCCUUAUAUGCUUAAUACACAAGGUAAUGUUGCAAAUAAUUAAAAACUCAUGUUACGAUCUGAUCAGCGCUUAUUUUAGGACACCAAGCUUGUCCUUGAGAAACCAUCAAUUUAUGUCGGCGAAGUGGUUUCCCUUCCAACGCUGACCUAAACCAAGAUCAACUCAACGAGAUCUGCAAUAUUUAUUAUAGACAUAUGCAUCGACAACCGCCCUUUUAAAGUUUUUAUAAAUAGAAAGGAAGACGGGGUUGGAGAUCUCAAGUGUGGUGAUGUCGGAGAGACCAAUAGAUUAGGAAGAUGUUGCAUAUGAGCAUGGAGUAAACGAAGUGGCUAUGAAAUAAAUUCCAUGCUCAUUAAUGUUAUCUUCGUCUCCAAUCUGAAUGUUCAUAGUUUCUCUUGGAUUGGUCUCACUUAUGUCCUCUUCUAUAGUUGGAUGAAUCUCAUCUUCAAAGGGAGUCAAGAACUCACCAUUUGAAAUUAAGACAAAGUCAGAACCCAAUAAGGCUUCUUCCUUAUCCAUCCAUUCUACACAUUCUAGCCAUUU